AGCGAACGCUGGCGGCAGGCUUAACACAUGCAAGUCGAACGGGCACUUCGGUGUCAGUGGCAGACGGGUGAGUAACACGUGGGAACGUACCUUUUGGUUCGGAACAACUGAGGGAAACUUCAGCUAAUACCGGAUGAGCCCUUACGGGGAAAGAUUUAUCGCCGAAAGAUCGGCCCGCGUCUGAUUAGCUAGUUGGUAGGGUAACGGCCUACCAAGGCGACGAUCAGUAGCUGGUCUGAGAGGAUGAUCAGCCACAUUGGGACUGAGACACGGCCCAAACUCCUACGGGAGGCAGCAGUGGGGAAUAUUGGACAAUGGGGGCAACCCUGAUCCAGCCAUGCCGCGUGAGUGAUGAAGGCCCUAGGGUUGUAAAGCUCUUUUGUGCGGGAAGAUAAUGACGGUACCGCAAGAAUAAGCCCCGGCUAACUUCGUGCCAGCCGCCGCAGUAA
rnacentral:rRNA from 1 species